rnacentral:lncRNA from 1 species
CGGGUGGCGCGGCCCCGUCCCGGACUCCCACGGCCACCGCAUCCAGUUCCGGCUCUACGCGCUCGACGACGUGCUCAGCCUCGGCAACAAGGCGAGUGCACCUACAAACUUCAGUCGUAGAGACUCUGUUCUGAAUGAACUCUGGCGUGUGACAGACGAGUACUGAUUCGUGGUGCUGGAUUUUGCAGGUGACUGUGGACAAGGUCAUGGAGGCCAUCGAGGGGCACGUGCUGGGGGAGGCCGAGAUCACGGCCGUGUUCUAAGGAGUUCUUGUGGAUUUUGACACUCGGCUCUGUGUGUGUGUGUGACCUGCUUGUUACUUCUUGCGAAUUGUGUGUGGUCUGUUCUGUAGCGUGCCUGUAUACGCAUGGCCACGAGCAGCCUUUGUAAUUUUGAUCCAAUAAAUGAAGUGACUUCUUAUCAGCCGGGUACGGUUGCACGACAGAUCUUUGUGACUGCAAUCCAUUUUAAUCACUGUGGUCGAAGGAAUGGAAACUGGCAAAU